rnacentral:rRNA from 1 species
UGGGGAAUAUUGCACAAUGGGCGCAAGCCUGAUGCAGCCAUGCCGCGUGUGUGAAGAAGGCCUUCGGGUUGUAAAGCACUUUCAGCGAGGAGGAAGGUGGUGAGCUUAAUACGCUCAUCAAUUGACGUUACUCGCAGAAGAAGCACCGGCUAACUCCGUGCCAGCAGCCGCGGUAAUACGGAGGGUGCAAGCGUUAAUCGGAAUUACUGGGCGUAAAGCGCACGCAGGCGGUUUGUUAAGUCAGAUGUGAAAUCCCCGGGCUCAACCUGGGAACUGCAUUUGAAACUGGCAAGCUAGAGUCUCGUAGAGGGGGGUAGAAUUCCAGGUGUAGCUGUGAAAUGCGUAGAGAUCUGGAGGAAUACCGGUGGCGAAGGCGGCCCCCUGGACGAAGACUGACGCUCAGGUGCGAAAGCGUGGGGAGCAAACA